UACGUAGGGUGCAAGCGUUGUCCGGAAUCAUUGGGCGUAAAGGGCGCGUAGGUGGCGGGACAAGCGUGCGGUGAAAGCUCGGGGCUCAACCCCGAGUCGGCCGUGCGAACUGUCUUGCUUGAGCACUGUAGAGGCAGGCGGAAUUCCGGGUGUAGCGGUGGAAUGCGUAGAGAUCCGGAAGAACACCGGUGGCGAAGGCGGCCUGCUGGGCAGUUGCUGACACUGAGGCGCGACAGCGUGGGGAGCAAACAGG
rnacentral:rRNA from 1 species